rnacentral:lncRNA from 1 species
UUCUAUUCUAGCCCUUAAUCCUACAGUCACUGGGACCCAAAACUCAGAGUGUGGAGAUAACAAAAACAGAUACCGAAGGUAAAAUUAAAGCUAAAGAAUAUUGUAGAACAUUAUUUGCCUAUGAAGGUACUAAUGAAGAUGAACUUACUUUUAAAGAGGGGGAGAUAAUCCAUUUGAUAAGUAAGGAGACUGGAGAAGCUGGCUGGUGGAGGGGCGAACUUAAUGGUAAAGAAGGAGUAUUUCCAGACAAUUUUGCUGUCCAGAUAAAUGAACUUGAUAAAGACUUUCCAGUAAGCUUUUGUUUUUCAAUGAUGAUAAUACUUGAAAGAACAUUUUGCCACUAUUCUUUUGCAAACAAGUUUUUUUGCAUUAUUAUUGAAUAAUUUUUAUGAAGGAGUUUCAGAUGUAGCUAUUCAGGUAGGAGUUAUUUGAGUUAUAGUAAAACAAAAUAAUGUUUCAGUUCCGUACUUUAUUCUUCCUUUGUUUCUUUCUCGACUGUACUGAAAAAUAACCUUAGACUUCUUUAUUUUAUAAUUUAAGAAGGGCUGUCUAUCCUAAUAACAUAAAUUAGUACUUUCCUGGAAGAAAUUGUAUUUUUAUUUAAUGUUGUUGAAAAGCUCUAGUUUAUUUUAAGGUCUUGUGGAUAUUGCUGUUAUGCUGUUGGUGCAUUUUUUUGGGAGGGCAAGAGCACUCUGCCUCCUUACAGA